AGCUCUUCGAAUCCGUAAAGAGAUUUCAUUAGACUCCAGACCAUCAAGACUGAUGAAACUCCUAAAAUGAGUGAGGCG
rfam:Schistosoma haematobium scaffold1239_22, whole genome shotgun sequence.